GGGCGAGCCGAGUUUCGAGCCGGGCAUAAUUCGAGCCGAGUUUUAUUUAGUCGAGCCGAGCCGGCUCGUUUAAGAAAACGAGCCUAAACCUUUGCCCGAACUCGACUCGUUUAUUUUCACGAGUCGAGUCGAGCUGGCUCGUUUAGCUAAACGAGCCGAGUUUAACGAGUCGGGCGAGCCGGCUCGUUUAAUUUAACACUAAAUCGAGCCUAAAAUGCUACCCGAAUCCGACUCGUUAAUUUUCACGAGUCGAGCCGAGCCAGCUCGUUUAACAAAACGAGCCAAAACCUCUGUCCGGACUCGAGCUCGAUUAACUAAACGAGCCGAGCCGAGCCCAUCAAA
rnacentral:lncRNA from 1 species